rnacentral:rRNA from 1 species
CCACCUCCUUGAGAGGGUAAGGCUCCCAGUAGACGACUGGGUUGAUAGGCCGGAUAUGGAAGCCCUGUGAGGGGUGGAGUUGACCGGUACUAAUAGGCCGAGGGCUUGUCCU